rnacentral:rRNA from 1 species
CCCGCGGUAAGAUGAGAUUUCCCAUUUCUUCGGAAAGUAAGAUCCCUGAAAGAUGAUCAGGUAGAUAGGUUUGGAGUGGAAGUGUAGCGAUACAUGGAGCGGACAAAUACUAAUCGAUCGAGGACUUAACCAAAA